CGACGACGACGAAGACGACAUUAAAUUUUGGCGUUAACAUUCAACGUUUACGGAUCAUUAUCGUAACUUUUCUUUCGAAACGUUUGCGCUUCGAUAAUCGAAUAACACGACGAUAUCAACAUUAUAAAAAGCAGUCUUGAGUGAACUUUCGAAACUUCCGCAUUACAAGGUUCGACGAUUUUCAAAGUCGUGAUUCGUAUUAACCACGACGAGGCGCAUCGGGAGAACUAGGAGAGGUUAGCGGCUGGCUAGUCGCGUUAAGUUGCUGCUCGAGGUGUCACAAAGAAGCGACUAGAGAGCAAAAAAGAGCAGGAGCUUGAACGAGAGAGAAAGAGAAAGGUGCCGACGAAUUUCGAAGUCGCCGGCGUGUGCAUCGUGGUAUAUAUAUUUUCGUGGCAAGGCAGUCCUUUUUUUCCUGCCACGUGUCUACGUCACAGUCUCCGCUUCGGCGACGCUCUAACGUGCAGAAAGAGAGCAACGGAGCAGCCCGUGGGUAGGACCGAUUUACGAGAGCGUUUCUGUGCUCGAUCGUUAGAAGAAGAAAAAGAAGAAGGAGGAGGAGGAGACGAUGAUGAGGAAAGAGAAGAAAAAGGUGUCCUUUAAUCGUCUCUCGUUGCCUCGAAAGGUGAACGUUCUCACAUCUUCGAAUUACGAAAGAAUUUUCGAGAGCUCGUCGUUGAAUAGAACGAAUUCUUUGGAUAAUUUCUAUUUAAUAUCGUUCGUACUUCACCUCAAUAAUGAUAAUAAGGAGAAACAAAAAUAUAGAAAAAAAAAAUAAAUAAAAAAAAAUUAAUUAAAGAUAUCCUAGAGAAAAAAUGGCGAAAGGGAAAGAAGGGUGCUUCCAACUUAAAUAUAACUUUCGUCAGACUUGAAGAUAACUUUCAUUUUUGCGGCUUUGCGGCGGGUCCAUCGAGAUAUAAUUUAUAGUGUGACGGAGAUAUGAAAGUUACGCGGCUAGGCUGUAACUCGUUAGAUCCAGUGGUAGAAAACCACAGGAAAUAACUCGAAAGUAUCCUACGGUUGGACGAUCUCGUACCAUUUUUCUUCUUCUUUGCUGCCAACUACGAUGUCUGAAACUUUCUCCUGGCCGUUCUCUAACGUCCAAGAAAGAAAUCGUCUAACGUUGAGAUCUCGUUAAUCAUAUUAC